GAAACAAAUGUCACAUCUUUACUAUAUAAUAGGAGUUCUGUACAAAAUAAAUAAAUAAUUACAUCAGAAGGAGACAACGAUCCAGCAACCCAAAGUUGACUGGGAGACAAUGGACUAGACCUCUCACGAACUCGUCAUAGCAUCCUCCAUGCGCAUCAUCCUGCGGUACCUGUUCUUGACCUGUGGGGGUGUGAGACAGCAAGAGUGAGCUCACACACGUUCAUCGCUCAACAAGUUGUGGGGAAUAAUGUGCAUGAACUCGCCAAAGGUGGAAGCUCAUGUGAAGUGUAAGGCUUACCAAAGAGGAUGGUUAAAGCUGAGCAUUGCUUUUAAAGUUGGUCACAAUUUUGUUAGUAGUUGCUAAGUGUAAGUAUAUACCAACCCAAAUAUGUAAUAGUUCAAAAUUUGAUAACAACACCUGCGAUGCAAUGCAUAUGACAAAUUGAAUUUAGUUCCAUAAAUUACUCAUGUGAGGGUCCGAGCUGCUCAUGACCGUGAGCACGGCUGAUAUACCAGUUUUACACUCUACAGAGGUUGCGCAUCUUUACCCACAAGUCAUGUUACCCCUCGUCUGACCGCCAUUGCAGCAAAAUCAACCCAAGGGCCUCCCUACACUGACCACUCUCCUACUGCCCUUGCCCCUUUCGAGUCAGGUAGUCCUCCACUAGCUUUCCUAAUUAGUUAGCCAAGGGCGUUCCAUACCACCCUUGUGGUAGCACUGUUUUCCCAGGUGGUUCUCCAUGUUCCAAUUAACAUAAUGAUCUUAUCAUGAACAGUAAAUAACAAACUGAUAAUAAAAGUAGGAUCAUGAAUAAUGUGUAUCUCCAUACCCAAAACCACAAUAAGCAAUAGUAGGUACUACCCAAAAAUUCAGUGGUAAACCAGGUAUAGAGAUAGCCAAACUAGGGUAAGCUAUUGGGUCCCAUCAAAAUUAACCUAUGCAGAUCAUUAUGAUUAAUAAGAACAUGAUUGGGUAAAAAGAAGUGAUCAAGGGCACAACUUGCAUGGGACUUGAGAUUCCAGGUACCAACUUGCUUUUUAGAUGACUCGUGACCUCACUGCUAAACGUAGCAAUACAAACAAACAUGGUAUAGGCAAAAUUAACAUCACACCAAACAUAAGAACAAACUGCAUAAUAAUAAUCUAGGCGUUGCUACGAGAUCGCGGGUUCGAGAACCACUAAAAUCGGAGUUACGGUUAGAGAGAUAUGAUUUUCUAAAAAUUUAGGUGUCCAAUAUAUAAUAAACUAAGUGCAUAAUUUUAAUCUAUGUUUAAUGACAAAAUAAGGUUACCAGAUGAUAAACAACAUUAUUAUGAAUUUAAUGCAACUGGAAUGGAUAAAAAAGGAGCUAAAAUGAAUACUUAUGAAUUAAACAAGUUUCUGAAAUUUUUUAUGCUAAAAACUAAUUUUAAUAUUAAUUAACCAUUUUCUGGUAAUCUAUGGACUGCAGAUAGAAAAAUCAGAGACCCAGGGUUGUUUUUGUUAAUUUCAAGGCCUCAGCGUAAUAUUCUUUUAACACCAGAGGACCGCGGCCGCGGGUUUAUUUUUAAUAAAGUCAAGGGCUUUUUUGCGAAAUGGCCGGGCCGAAGGGGGUAUCGGCCAAUCAGAACCGUAGGAUCGCGGGUCAAAGGUUAAUAAAAGAAACUGAAUCGGUAUGCAACGGUGACCCACGGAUCAAUGGCCAAGGAUACGCCAUGCCAUUCAUCUAAUCUGAUCCGCACAAUGAGAUCCAAUGAUCGAGAUACAAUCUGGUCAAAGGGGUGGGUUGCUUCUAAUCCUGGCCGAUGAUCUACUAUUCAACGACCUAGAUUUUAUUAUGGCUAUACCUUAUCACACCUCCACGGCUUAGAUCAAAUCACCCAGAUGAUACGCCUAGCGCCAAAUCACGGUCGUUGCACGCUGGAUCAACGGCGCAAGCUUGCCCCCACCUCACGUCAUCCAAGCACGGCGGCGCCACCAGCCUAGACGGCGGAGAGAUGGCCGGAGUUCGGCCACCCCGUCCAGGAGGGCCUUAUACUCUAAUCUAAAGUGUGAAUCAUAUAGUGCAAGGCAUGGCGAACGCAGGGGAAGAGUUCUCACCGGCAGGGACGAAGCAUAGAGGCCCGACCGCGGAGAGUGGGUGGUCCGCGGCGGAUUCAGUCACCGACGAGAAAUUCACCGAGCCCUGGCCGCCCACGGCCCCGGAAUUCCACACGGCGACGUCCGCAAACCUUGACAAAGCUUUCCCGAGCGCACGUUUUGCCCUAAAUGGACGGUAAUCACCGAGGGCCGAUUACGGCGGUGGUGCUCGGCUUUCCCUCCCCCUUCUCAUUGUUUCUCUUGCGGUGGCUUAGAAAUCUGCAGACGAGCAGGAAAGAGGGUCACAGCGUGGUCACUUUUAUGGUCCCGGGAGCACGCGACCAGCAGGUAUUUGGUUGCUCGCCUCCGGGUUCGUCAGCGAGGGCGCAACGGUCGCGACCGAUUCGGCCGAGAGGUUCACAAGGACCGAACCCGCCGAACCGAAGAGCGAGUAAAAUGGGAGGCAAAGCCCGCGUGAA
rnacentral:lncRNA from 1 species